rnacentral:rRNA from 1 species
AGAGUUUGAUCAUGGCUCAGGAUGAACGCUAGCGGCAGGCCUAACACAUGCAAGUCGAGGGGUAGGGUAGCAAUACCUGAGACCGGCGCACGGGUGCGUAACGCGUAUGCAAUCUACCUUUUACAGGGGAAUAGCCCAGAGAAAUUUGGAUUAAUGCCCCAUGGUAUUAUAGAGUGGCAUCAUUUUAUAAUUAAAGUUCCAACGGUAAAAGAUGAGCAUGCGUCCCAUUAGUUAGUUGGUAAGGUAACGGCUUACCAAGACGAUGAUGGGUAGGGGUCCUGAGAGGGAGAUCCCCCACACUGGUACUGAGACACGGACCAGACUCCUACGGGAGGCAGCAGUGAGGAAUAUUGGACAAUGGGCGCAAGCCUGAUCCAGCCAUGCCGCGUGCAGGAAGAAGCAUCUAUGGUGUGUAAACUGCUUUUGUACAGGAAGAAACACUCCCUCGUGAGGGAGCUUGACGGUACUGUAAGAAUAAGGACCGGCUAACUCCGUGCCAGCAGCCGCGGUA